UACGGAGGGGACUAGCGUUGUUCGGAAUUACUGGGCGUAAAGCGCACGUAGGCGGUUUUGUAAGUCAGGGGUGAAAUCCCGGGGCUCAACCUCGGAACUGCCUUUGAUACUGCAAAUCUCGAGUCCGGAAGAGGUGAGUGGAAUUCCUAGUGUAGAGGUGAAAUUCGUAGAUAUUAGGAAGAGCACCAGUGGCGAAGGCGGCUCACUGGUCCGGUACUGACGCUGAGGUGCGAAAGCGUGGGGAGCAAACAGG
rnacentral:rRNA from 1 species